rnacentral:misc_RNA from 1 species
GAUGAAGAACGUAGCGAAAUGCGAUAAGUAAUGUGAAUUGCAGAAUUCAGUGAAUCAUCGAAUCUUUGAACGCAUCUUGUGCUCCUUGGUAUUCCGAGGAGCAUGCCUGUUUGAGUGUCAUUUAACUUCUCAACCAGACAUCAGAUUAUCUUUUGAUGCUUGGCUUGGAUCUGGGGGUUGUUUGCAGGCCUUCUUGUUCAAGGAGGUCGGCUCCCCUGAAAUGUAUUAGUGGUAUCUGAGGCUAUUGCUAUUAGGUGUGAUAAUUAUCUAUGUCUUUUGGCAUGCCCCAUGAACAGAUUACACUGCUUCCAACAAAAAAAAAACAAUUUUGAUGAAUUUGACCUCAAAUCAGGUAGGACUACCCGCUGAACUUAAGCAUAUCAAUAAGCGGAGGA